GCGAACGCUGGCGGCAGGCCUAACACAUGCAAGUCGAGCGGCCGUAGCAAUACGGCAGCGGCAGACGGGAGAGUAACACGUGGGAACGCGCCCUUCGGUUCGGAAUAACUCAGGGAAACUUGAGCUAAUACCGGAUACGCCCUAACGGGGAAAGAUUUAUUGCCGAAGGAACGGCCCGCGUCCGAUUAGCUAGUUGGUGAGGUAACGGCUCACCAAGGCGACGAUCGGUAGCUGGUCUGAGAGGAUGACCAGCCUCAUUGGGACUGAGACACGGCCCAAACUCCUACGGGAGGCAGCAGUGGGGAAUAUUGGACAAUGGGCGCAAGCCU
rnacentral:rRNA from 1 species